UACGUAGGGUGCAAGCGUUACUCGGAAUUACUGGGCGUAAAGCGUGCGCAGGCGGUGAUGUAAGACAGAUGUGAAAUCCCCGGGCUCAACCUGGGAACUGCAUUUGUGACUGCAUCGCUGGAGUGCGGCAGAGGGGGAUGGAAUUCCUGGUGUAGCAGUGAAAUGCGUAGAUAUCAGGAGGAACACCGAUGGCGAAGGCAGGUCUCUGGGCUGAAACUGAUGCUCAUGCACGAAAGCGUGGGGAGCAAACAGG
rnacentral:rRNA from 1 species